rnacentral:rRNA from 1 species
GAUGAACGCUGGCGGCGUGCCUAAUACAUGCAAGUCGAGCGAACAGAUAAGGAGCUUGCUCCUUUGACGUUAGCGGCGGACGGGUGAGUAACACGUGGGUAACGUACCUAUAAGACUGGAAUAACUCCGGGAAACCGGGGCUAAUGCCGGAUAACAUUUAGAACCGCAUGGUUCUAAAGUGAAAGAUGGUUUUGCUAUCACUUAUAGAUGGACCCGCGCCGUAUUAGCUAGUUGGUAAGGUAACGGCUUACCAAGGCAACGAUACGUAGCCGACCUGAGAGGGUGAUCGGCCACACUGGAACUGAGACACGGUCCAGACUCCUACGGGAGGCAGCAGUAGGGAAUCUUCCGCAAUGGGCGAAAGCCUGACGGAGCAACGCCGCGUGAGUGAUGAAGGUCUUCGGAUCGUAAAACUCUGUUAUUAGGGAAGAACAAAUGUGUAAGUAACUGUGCACGUCUUGACGGUACCUAAUCAGAAAGCCACGGCUAACUACGUG